UACAGAGGGUGCGAGCGUUAAUCGGAAUUACUGGGCGUAAAGCGCACGUAGGUGGCGACGUAAGUCGGGUGUGAAAGCCCCGGGCUCAACCUGGGAAUUGCAUUCGAGACUGUGUCGCUGGAGUACGGAAGAGGAAGGCGGAAUUCCCGGUGUAGCGGUGAAAUUCGUAGAUAUCGAGAGGAACACCGGUGGCGAAGGCGGCCUUCUGGACAGCAACUGACGCUGAGACGCGAAAGCGUGGGGAGCAAACAGG
rnacentral:rRNA from 1 species